CGGGGACUCCCAAGAAGUAUAGAAGCAACUGUAAUUUCUUGUUUUUGCAAUAAACGUUUCUUUAUUAGGGUCAAAUAGAUAUAUCACAAUAUUGAUUCAUCCACUGAGCAGCCAUACAUUGGUUACAACAAUCAUUUAAGUGACUAUGCUGUUUUAUGCUAAAAGAUGCUUUGCACAUUUACAGCUCAUACAAUGAUAUUAUAGACAAAUACACUUUUAUUUAGAAAUGCAGAUGUUCAGAUUUUUUUAUGGUGUGUUCUUCUGUAGGCUGCAAAUUGAGUAAGAAAGGUAAAAUUCUCAUAUUCCAAACAGGGAAAAUUAAUAAAAUAGGACAAAUUAACAGGUAUAGAUAGGCAAUGCUGGAAACCUAGGAGCUGCAGUGCAUGCAUUAUAUAGCGUAAUCUUCAGAAAUUAUAUGGAAACAGAUUUUGUUUUCACCCAAAUGCAGAAUAAAAUCUAAUCUUAAUUUAUUCUCUUAUGCA
rnacentral:lncRNA from 1 species